rnacentral:tRNA from 1 species
GGGUUGUUAGCUCAGUUGGUAGAGCGCCUCUCUUACACGGAGGAUGUCCAGGGUUCGAGACCUUGACAACCCA